rnacentral:lncRNA from 1 species
GAAAGAGACAUGGGGGAUUAUUUGUCCUGUUCCCCAGAAGAGUACAUUUAAAAGGAGGAGGAAUUUGGAUCACUAAAAGAAAAAGAAAAAAAAGAAGGAUGAAACAGUCUCAUUGUGUCACCGAGGCUGAAGUGCAGUGGCAUAAUCAUGGCUUACUGCAGCCCCUACCUCUAGGCUCAAGCAAUCCUCCCAUCUCAGCUUCCUGUGUAGCUAGGAUGGAAAUGUUCUUUUUCUUAAAGGAUAUAUACUUUCUCCUAACCUCAGACAUCGGCAGUCUUGAUUGUCAGAACUUCAGACUCAGACUAAAUUUCCUGCUUCUGCAGCCGUCAGACAGAUUAUGGGAGUUCUUGGCCUCCAUAAUUAUCUUGAAAAUGGUUUUACAUGAAAGAUUUUCCUGAUCCACAUGAUCAUUGAGAAAAAUCCAAUAGGACACAGAAAGAAGGGGAUUGUCCGCAAAUGAAAAAGAAAGACUUCACUGAAAACUGAACACCUUGAUCUUAGUCUUCUAGCCUCCAGAACUGUGCAGAAAUAAGUAACUGUUGUAGAAGCCACCCAGUCGACGAUACUUUUGUUAUGGCAGCCCACGGCAGUGAAUACAAUGGCACAUACAUUUAUUAAGACAUACUAAACACUGUUUUUAAAUAUGUGUAAAUUUUAUUAUAUCUUAAUUAUACUUCAAUACAAUUGAUUAAAAGAUGCUAUAAGGCCAGCAUACCACUAGCAGUAUGAUUGAAUGAGAAAUAAAGCUGGAGAUGGCUGCACAAUACCUAGUUAUUGUCUGCAUAUAAGUUCAAUGGAAAGGACCAAACAACAACAACAAAACUUAUCUGGAAUUUUGGCAGAAGGAGGGAAACAGGCACAAAACACCUACAUUAUCCAGAAGUUAUAAUCAAUAUAAUUUACAGUUUGAUAAGUUGUGUUGCGAUGAAGAAGACGAAUGGGUCUCGACUUGUGCCCAAACUUCUGGAGUAAGUGACUAAGUGAAUGAUAAUGACAUCAUAUAAAAUAUGC